ACGCUUGAGAACGGGCUCCAAGAUGGUUAAAGUGCUCCUUAAUGGCUAUAGGGAGAAGCUCAGGCACAAGUCCAGGCAUCAGGGGGAUGCCAGAGGGGCUAGUCAAAGGCCCCUACUCAUGCUUGAUGGUCAUCCUUCAGAAGAGAUCCUCGCCCAACCCAGCCAGCCUACAGAGACCCUUCGGUCACUUCUGUAUCUUCGCUAUUGUGAAUAGAACUGUAGUGGACACGCGAGUGCAGAUUUCGCUUCGAGAAGGAGAAAAUGAUGACUUCCAUUGCAACCCUGAAAAGAAGAAAGGAAGCCAGAAGUGGUUAAAUUUGUAGAGAGGGAGCGCAAGUCAGUGCCAGCAGAGUGAGGGGCAGAGGAAGAGGGAGAGGCAGCAGAGAAUCCCAAGCAGAUCCUGCACUGAGCAUAGAGCCCGAGAGAUUUCUGCCUAAGAAAGCCUGAAGUGUGGACAAGUACAAAAACCUUACACAGAAGAUUGCCAAAUACCCACAGAGAAAAGACACAGCUGAGAUUUAAAUGAGGAAGAAUCAUGGUCACAUUUUCCUUUUUAGAGGCAACAUUUUGGAUUACUGUGGAUAAUUGUAUUCUAGAUAGAUGAUAUUCUAAUGCCAUGAAGUUUCCAUCAGCUUUGGUCUCUGAUUCAGGUCAAGAUGAAGUAGAGCCUUUUAUUCAUCCAAGAUGGAAAAGGAUCAUGAGAAUUUCUCUACAGCUUGGGCUAAUAUUGAUGGCAUUGGGCCUGAUGCAGCAACCAUCACAGGGCCUUCAGUGAUGGGAGUACGGAGUUGGCAGUCUAGAAUUCCAGAGCAGAUGUCAAUGGGAAAGGCACUUAGGAAAUGGCAAUGCACUAAAAAGCUGUCACACUGAGAUUUCCUCUGUGAGUGCAGUUCGGUGUUCACUCCGAUGCUGAAAAAUGUAAAGUAUAUGAAGAAACAAAGGCAGCAUGCAACUUCUUUUAACGUUUGUUGCAUAGUUCUGUCUGAUAGAUGCUCCCAGGAGUCAUCGCACUGAGAUACAGUGCUUCAACCAACAUCCCUAUCUUCCAAUCUUUGGGUAUUUCCCAGGAUAUUAUUUUGGGAUCAGAUGAAAAGAAGUGACAGGUGUAUAGGAGUAUCUGAGCCCCAGCAAAGUGAGAUAAAUUCUAUUAAAACUGUUCAUGGACCUGACACAUCAAUGAAACUUUUGGAGGCAUGGCCUUGAAAGACAGUGAUGAAGAGAAGGCCUCCCAAUGUGCAGAUCUUCAGGUGGUGCACCUGAGCAUCCACUUUAUGUGGGAAGAGAUAUAGCUCAAGUCAAGAAUAUGUAUGGACUCAUGCCAUGGGGAAUGAGUAGGCUGGUUGUUCAGAAACCUGGAAGAAGAAAGAUCUAAAGACAACAAAGAACUCUGAUGUGGAGGCAUGCAGGUAGACUGUGGGAGUGAGAACAAAGUGUCAACAUCACCAGAAACAAUCCAUCACAGAACAGGCCCUAAACUAAAUAAAGAACAUGAUGUGGUUACCUGA